rnacentral:rRNA from 1 species
UACGGAGGGGGCUAGCGUUGUUCGGAAUUACUGGGCGUAAAGCGCGCGUAGGCGGUUCUGCAAGUCGGGGGUGAAAUCCCGAGGCUCAACCUCGGAACUGCCUUCGAUACUGCGGGUCUCGAGUCCGGGAGAGGUGAGUGGAAUUCCUAGUGUAGAGGUGAAAUUCGUAGAUAUUAGGAAGAACACCAGUGGCGAAGGCGGCUUCCUGGUCCAGCACCGACGUUCAGGCACGAAAGCGUGGGGAGCAAACAGG